rnacentral:rRNA from 1 species
UACGGAGGGUGCGAGCGUUGUCCGGAAUCACUGGGCGUAAAGGGCGCGUAGGCGGCGCGGGGAGUCAACGGUGAAAGCUCGGCGCUCAACGCCGAGUCGGCCGUCGAUACUCCCCGUGCUCGAGCACUGUAGAGGCAGGUGGAAUUCCGGGGUGUAGCGGUGGAAUGGCGUAGAGAUCCGGAAGAACACCGGUGGCGAAGGCGGCCUGACUGGGCCAGUAGCUGGACGCUGAGGCGCGACAGCGUGGGG